rnacentral:rRNA from 1 species
UUUUAACGAGAGUUUGAUCCUGGCUCAGGAUGAACGCUGGCGGCGUGGCUAACACAUGCAAGUCGAACGGGGUUUACGCGCUGAUGAAGCUUCGGCGGAAUCUUGUGUAAACCUAGUGGCGG